UACGUAGGGACCAAGCGUUGUCCGGAAUCAUUGGCGUAAAGAGCGUGUAGGCGGCUUGUUAAGUCUUGCGUGAAAUCUCGGGCUCAACCCCGAGCGGUCGUGAGAAACUGGCAGGCUAGAGUGCGGGAGAGGAGAGUGGAAUUCCUGGUGUAGCGGUGGAAUGCGCAGAUAUCAGGAGGAACACCAAUAGCGAAGGCAGCUCGCUGGGACGGUAUUGACGCUAAGGCGCGAAAGCGUGGGGAGCAAACAGG
rnacentral:rRNA from 1 species